CUGGCCGAAGAGCUGCACAAGACGUACGGCGA
rnacentral:scRNA from 1 species